AAAAAAGGUAAGCUACUAAGAGCGAAUGGUGGAUGCCUUGACUGGUAAAGGCGAUGAAGGACGUACUAGACUGCGAUAAGCUACGGGGAGCUGUCAAGAAGCUUUGAUCCGUAGAUUUCCGAAUGGGGCAACCCAAUGUAUAGAGAUAUACAUUACCUAUAUAGGAGCGAACGAGGGGAAUUGAAACAUCUUAGUACCCUCAGGAAAAGAAAUCAAUAGAGAUUGCGUCAGUAGCGGCGAGCGAAAGCGUAAGAGGGCAAACCCAGUGCUUGCACUGGGGGUUGUAGGACUGCAAUGUGCAAGAGGUGAGUUUAGCAGAACAUUCUGGAAAGUAUAGCCAUAGAGGGUGAUAGUCCCGUAUGCGAAAAACAAACCUUAGCUAGCAGUAUCCUGAGUAGGGCGGGACACGAGAAAUCCUGUCUGAAGCUGGGUCGACCACGAUCCAACCCUAAAUACUAAUACCAGAUCGAUAGUGCACAAGUACCGUGAGGGAAAGGUGAAAAGAACUGAGGUGAUCAGAGUGAAAUAGAACCUGAAACCAUUUGCUUACAAUCAUUCAGAGCACUAUGUAGCAAUACAGUGUGAUGGACUGCCUUUUGCAUAAUGAGCCUGCGAGUUGUGGUGUCUGGCAAGGUUAAGCAAACGCGAAGCCGUAGCGAAAGCGAGUCUGAAUAGGGCGCUUAGUCAGAUGCUGCAGACCCGAAACGAAGUGAUCUAUCCAUGAGCAAGUUGAAGCUAGUGUAAGAACUAGUGGAGGACUGAACCCAUAGGCGUUGAAAAGCCCCGGGAUGACUUGUGGAUAGGGGUGAAAGGCCAAUCAAACUUCGUGAUAGCUGGUUCUCUCCGAAAUAUAUUUAGGUAUAGCGUUGUGUCGUAAUAUAAGGGGGUAGAGCACUGAAUGGGCUAGGGCAUACACCAAUGUACCAAACCCUAUCAAACUCCGAAUACCUUAUAUGUAAUCACAGCAGUCAGGCGGCGAGUGAUAAAAUCCGUCGUCAAGAGGGAAACAACCCAGACUACCAGCUAAGGUCCCUAAAUCUUACUUAAGUGGAAAACGAUGUGAAGUUACUUAAACAACCAGGAGGUUGGCUUAGAAGCAGCCAUCCUUUAAAGAAAGCGUAAUAGCUCACUGGUCUAGUGAUUUUGCGCGGAAAAUAUAACGGGGCUAAAGUAAGUACCGAAGCUGUAGACUUGAUUUUAUCAAGUGGUAGGAGAGCGUUCUAUUUGCGCCGAAGGUAUACUGGUAAGGAGUGCUGGAGCGAAUAGAAGUGAGCAUGCAGGCAUGAGUAGCGAUAAUUAAUGUGAGAAUCAUUAACGCCGUAAACCCAAGGUUUCCUACGCGAUGCUCGUCAUCGUAGGGUUAGUCGGGUCCUAAGUCGAGUCCGAAAGGGGUAGACGAUGGCAAAUUGGUUAAUAUUCCAAUACCAACAUUAGUGUGCGAUGGAAGGACGCUUAGGGCUAAGGGGGCUAGCGGAUGGAAGUGCUAGUCUAAGGUCGUAGGAGGUUAUACAGGCAAAUCCGUAUAACAAUACUCCGAGAACUGAAAGGCUUUUUGAAGUCUUCGGAUGGAUAGAAGAACCCCUGAUGCCGUCGAGCCAAGAAAAGUUUCUAAGUUUAGCUAAUGUUGCCCGUACCGUAAACCGACACAGGUGGGUGGGAUGAGUAUUCUAAGGCGCGUGGAAGAACUCUCUUUAAGGAACUCUGCAAAAUAGCACCGUAUCUUCGGUAUAAGGUGUGGUUCGCUUCGUAUUAGGAUUUACUCCGAAAGCGAAGAAACUUACAACAAAGAGUCCCUCCCGACUGUUUACCAAAAACACAGCACUCUGCUAACUCGUAAGAGGAUGUAUAGGGUGUGACGCCUGCCCGGUGCUCGAAGGUUAAUUGAUGGGGUUAGCAUUAGCGAAGCUCUUGAUCGAAGCCCGAGUAAACGGCGGCCGUAACUAUAACGGUCCUAAGGUAGCGAAAUUCCUUGUCGGUUAAAUACCGACCUGCAUGAAUGGCGUAACGAGAUGGGAGCUGUCUCAAAGAGGGAUCCAGUGAAAUUGUAGUGGAGGUGAAAAUUCCUCCUACCCGCGGCAAGACGGAAAGACCCCGUGGACCUUUACUACAGCUUGACACUGCUAUUUGGAUAAGAAUGUGCAGGAUAGGUGGGAGGCUUUGAGUAUAUGACGCCAGUUGUAUAUGAGCCAUUGUUGAGAUACCACUCUUUCUUAUUUGGGUAGCUAACCAGCUUGAGUUAUCCUCAAGUGGGACAAUGUCUGGUGGGUAGUUUGACUGGGGCGGUCGCCUCCCAAAUAAUAACGGAGGCUUACAAAGGUUGGCUCAGAACGGUUGGAAAUCGUUCGUAGAGUAUAAAGGUAUAAGCCAGCUUAACUGCAAGACAUACAAGUCAAGCAGAGACGAAAGUCGGUCUUAGUGAUCCGGUGGUUCUGUGUGGAAGGGCCAUCGCUCAAAGGAUAAAAGGUACCCCGGGGAUAACAGGCUGAUCUCCCCCAAGAGCUCACAUCGACGGGGAGGUUUGGCACCUCGAUGUCGGCUCAUCGCAUCCUGGGGCUGGAGCAGGUCCCAAGGGUAUGGCUGUUCGCCAUUUAAAGCGGUACGCGAGCUGGGUUCAGAACGUCGUGAGACAGUUCGGUCCCUAUCUGCCGUGGGCGUAAGAAGAUUGAAGAGAUUUGACCCUAGUACGAGAGGACCGGGUUGAACAAACCACUGGUGUAGCUGUUGUUCUGCCAAGAGCAUCGCAGCGUAGCUAAGUUUGGAAAGGAUAAACGCUGAAAGCAUCUAAGCGUGAAGCCAACUCUAAGAUGAAUCUUCUCUAAGCUCUCUAGAAGACUACUAGUUUGAUAGGCUGGGUGUGUAAUGGAUGAAAGUCCUUUAGCUGACCAGUACUAAUAGAGCGUUUGGCUUAUCUUUAAUAAAGCAU
rnacentral:rRNA from 1 species